rnacentral:rRNA from 1 species
GAUUAAGUUAUUAAGGGCGCACGGUGGAUGCCUUGGCACUAGAAGCCGAUGAAGGACGUUACUAACGACGAUAUGCUUUGGGGAGCUGUAAGUAAGCUUUGAUCCAGAGAUUUCCGAAUGGGGAAACCCAGCAUGAGUUAUGUCAUGUUAUCGAUAUGUGAAUACAUAGCAUAUCAGAAGGCACACCCGGAGAACUGAAACAUCUUAGUACCCGGAGGAAGAGAAAGAAAAUUCGAUUCCCUUAGUAGCGGCGAGCGAAACGGGAAGAGCCCAAACCAACAAGCUUGCUUGUUGGGGUUGUAGGACACUCUAUACGGAGUUACAAAGGACGACAUUAGACGAAUCAUCUGGAAAGAUGAAUCAAAGAAGGUAAUAAUCCUGUAGUCGAAAAUGUUGUCUCUCUUGAGUGGAUCCUGAGUACGACGGAGCACGUGAAAUUCCGUCGGAAUCUGGGAGGACCAUCUCCUAAGGCUAAAUACUCUCUAGUGACCGAUAGUGAACCAGUACCGUGAGGGAAAGGUGAAAAGCACCCCGGAAGGGGAGUGAAAUAGAACCUGAAACCGUGUGCUUACAAGUAGUCAGAGCCCGUUAAUGGGUGAUGGCGUGCCUUUUGUAGAAUGAACCGGCGAGUUACGAUUUGAUGCAAGGUUAAGCAGUAAAUGUGGAGCCGUAGCGAAAGCGAGUCUGAAUAGGGCGUUUAGUAUUUGGUCGUAGACCCGAAACCAGGUGAUCUACCCUUGGUCAGGUUGAAGUUCAGGUAACACUGAAUGGAGGACCGAACCGACUUACGUUGAAAAGUGAGCGGAUGAACUGAGGGUAGCGGAGAAAUUCCAAUCGAACCUGGAGAUAGCUGGUUCUCUCCGAAAUAGCUUUAGGGCUAGCCUCAAGUGAUGAUUAUUGGAGGUAGAGCACUGUUUGGACGAGGGGCCCCUCUCGGGUUACCGAAUUCAGACAAACUCCGAAUGCCAAUUAAUUUAACUUGGGAGUCAGAACAUGGGUGAUAAGGUCCGUGUUCGAAAGGGAAACAGCCCAGACCACCAGCUAAGGUCCCAAAAUAUAUGUUAAGUGGAAAAGGAUGUGGCGUUGCCCAGACAACUAGGAUGUUGGCUUAGAAGCAGCCAUCAUUUAAAGAGUGCGUAAUAGCUCACUAGUCGAGUGACACUGCGCCGAAAAUGUACCGGGGCUAAACAUAUUACCGAAGCUGUGGAUUGUCCUUUGGACAAUGGUAGGAGAGCGUUCUAAGGGCGUUGAAGCAUGAUCGUAAGGACAUGUGGAGCGCUUAGAAGUGAGAAUGCCGGUGUGAGUAGCGAAAGACGGGUGAGAAUCCCGUCCACCGAUUGACUAAGGUUUCCAGAGGAAGGCUCGUCCGCUCUGGGUUAGUCGGGUCCUAAGCUGAGGCCGACAGGCGUAGGCGAUGGAUAACAGGUUGAUAUUCCUGUACCACCUAUAAUCGUUUUAAUCGAUGGGGGGACGCAGUAGGAUAGGCGAAGCGUGCGAUUGGAUUGCACGUCUAAGCAGUAAGGCUGAGUAUUAGGCAAAUCCGGUACUCGUUAAGGCUGAGCUGUGAUGGGGAGAAGACAUUGUGUCUUCGAGUCGUUGAUUUCACACUGCCGAGAAAAGCCUCUAGAUAGAAAAUAGGUGCCCGUACCGCAAACCGACACAGGUAGUCAAGAUGAGAAUUCUAAGGUGAGCGAGCGAACUCUCGUUAAGGAACUCGGCAAAAUGACCCCGUAACUUCGGGAGAAGGGGUGCUCUUUAGGGUUAACGCCCAGAAGAGCCGCAGUGAAUAGGCCCAAGCGACUGUUUAUCAAAAACACAGGUCUCUGCUAAACCGUAAGGUGAUGUAUAGGGGCUGACGCCUGCCCGGUGCUGGAAGGUUAAGAGGAGUGGUUAGCUUCUGCGAAGCUACGAAUCGAAGCCCCAGUAAACGGCGGCCGUAACUAUAACGGUCCUAAGGUAGCGAAAUUCCUUGUCGGGUAAGUUCCGACCCGCACGAAAGGCGUAACGAUUUGGGCACUGUCUCAACGAGAGACUCGGUGAAAUCAUAGUACCUGUGAAGAUGCAGGUUACCCGCGACAGGACGGAAAGACCCCGUGGAGCUUUACUGUAGCCUGAUAUUGAAAUUCGGCACAGCUUGUACAGGAUAGGUAGGAGCCUUUGAAACGUGAGCGCUAGCUUACGUGGAGGCGCUGGUGGGAUACUACCCUAGCUGUGUUGGCUUUCUAACCCGCACCACUUAUCGUGGUGGGAGACAGUGUCAGGCGGGCAGUUUGAC